GGACCCGGGCUCCCCAGCAGUAGCUGCGAAUGUAUCAUUAUAAUGACUUUUAGUUUUAGCGCUAGAAUAUAGUUAAAGUUAUUUUACUCCUCAGAACGAGGAGCAUUUGUUAGUCUGAAGGAUAGGUGGUUACCGAUACAGUAUUAAAUACUUGGGUCUUAACUGAGUUAACUUUAUAGAUUGAACAAUGAUUUUUAGGAGACCCUAGUAAUGGGCAUGUAUAGACCAACUCUGCAGAGGCCUUAUGAGAAACAUCCAUAGAAUUCGCUUUUCUCUACAGCUAUUCGAUUGUAAAAGAGCCCUCCUCUUGAGUACUGUUGAAGUUAAUGUUUUGUCCUUCAUGAUAUAAGAAUUCAAACUUUGAAAAAAACCUUUGGACAAUUUAAUUUAUUCAACAUAGAAGUGAUUUUUAAAUGCUCUUGCAUUAAAUACAGACAAAUUGGAAGAUUUAGUCUUCAAGCCUCGUACAAAAUGACUUAAAAGAAAUUUCGCUGCUACAGCUAAAGACUUUCUGCCAUCUUUGACAGCAAUUUGGUUUAACUUGCCUUCAAGCAUCCCAGAACUCCAUACAAUGUAAAGUUAUGAGCAGAAUCUCAGCCUGUUUUCUCCUUAAGCCUCACGUUCCUGUCUCCUGCCUCCAUAGAUGGACUGUUUUGUGAGAUGACAUCCCUGCCUCCUCUGCCGGGCAAUGGCAGCUGCAGCACACUGCCCCCUUGGAGAACCACAGCUGCCCUUUGGAGAAAAGUCACCCUCCUGGGUAACUAAAGUUCAGACUUCCUCUCCGGUGUCUCUACCAGGACCCUUUCAUGACACCACACAUAUGUGAAAAAGACUGGCCGUUGUCUUCAGCCUAAUGGCUGUGCCAGUUAUAAAGAUUAUCCGCAGCUGAGGAAGGUCAUUAUGCUUUGUAGUUGGUAUAUAAUAUAUGUAUAUAAUACAUAUAAGUUAUAUACUGUACUAUAAAUUAUAAUAAUGUAUAUUUAGUGUUUAAAAUUAUAGAGUUGAGAUAUAUUGAUUUGUUUUUGUUUUUCCUUACAAAAGGGCUUAUAAACUCUGUAGGUAAAUAAAUAAACAAGAAUUACCCUUUUGGAGAACUAAA